UUUGCACACGAGUUUGCGGUCUCUGGGUAUAUAAACCGGCGGGCUUGACAGCGUAAUAACAUACGAUAGAUUUUCGAGUCAUUUUCAGUUUCUGUCUUGCCUCUCUGUUGAGAACUCACAACUUAUUUACAAUGGCCGAUGUUGAAAAAUCUUGCUGCGCUGAGACCAAGGAUUGCUGUGAUGUAGAUGCUAACUGCUGCGAGAAUGGUAAGGGAGCUUGCCAUGAAAAGGACGCAGACUGUUGCAAGGACGGUUGCCACACCACAAAACCAUGCGGUUGCAAAGCCAAUGAGGCCUGCAAAUGUACGGAAGGCAAAUGUGCCUGUUAGCUAUCUGCCUUCUUCAGGCAUUUUUUCACUAUAGCACCUUCAUGGGUCCUUGGUUUUCUCCUGGGGUUGCCAUCAAUCGAAGCGUCUAAGACAACAUCAGAGAUAUCAAUUACAACAGAUCAAGAAUGCUACGAUCAAAAACAUACUGUUCUAUCAAGAGACCUGUCGAUGGCAACUAAAAUUAAAAUUCUCACUAUUUCUGUUUUACAUUAAAUGUUUUAUUUCCGGUCGUUUCGUAUAUUUUUAAGUGAUCUUAAAGGAUCUUAAGUUUUCUGUAUGAUUUUAAAGUUUCGUCCAAUAAAGUCAAGUUUCUUUUCA